AGAGCGAACGCUGGCGGCAGGCUUAACACAUGCAAGUCGAGCGCCCCGCAAGGGGAGCGGCAGACGGGAGAGUAACACGUGGGAACGUACCUUUCGGUUCGGAACAACCCAGGGAAACUUGGGCUAAUACCGGAUACGUCCGUAAGGAGAAAGAUUUAUCGCCGAAAGAUCGGCCCGCGUCUGAUUAGCUAGUUGGUGAGGUAACGGCUCACCAAGGCGACGAUCAGUAGCUGGUCUGAGAGGAUGAUCAGCCUCACUGGGACUGAGACACGGCCCAGACUCCUACGGGAGGCAGCAGUGGGGAAUAUUGGACAAUGGGCGCAAGCCUGAUCCAGCCAUGCCGCGUGGGUGAUGAAGGCCCUAGGGUUGUAAAGCUCGUUUCGGCGGGGACGAUAAUGACGGUACCCGCAGAAGAAGCCCCGGCUAACGUUCGUGCCAGCAGCCGC
rnacentral:rRNA from 1 species